rnacentral:rRNA from 1 species
UACGGGGGGGGCUAGCGUUGUUCGGAAUUACUGGGCGUAAAGGGCUUGUAGGCGGCCAACUAAGUCAGACGUGAAAUCCCUCGGCUUAACCGAGGAACUGCGUCUGAUACUGGAUGGCUGGAAUCCGGGAGAGGGAUGCGGAAUUCCAGGUGUAGCGGUGAAAUGCGUAGAUAUCUGGAGGAACACCGGUGGCGAAGGCGGCAUCCUGGACCAACACUGACGCUGAGGAGCGAAAGCCAGGGGAGCAAACGGG